rnacentral:lncRNA from 1 species
AGAGAAGGAGAUGUCGCCGAUGCCAACUGGGGAGAGGGAAGAGUUGUCUCCGACUGGGAAGUGGGAGAUGUCGCCACUGGAGAGAGAGAAGGAGAUAUCGAGAGAGAGAAGAUUUAUCGUCGACUGGGGAGAGAAAGAAGACGUCGCCGGUGUCGACUGGGUUGCCGGCAGUCAUCAGUGAAGUGGAGGAGAGAGGCGUCGAUUGGGAAUUAUGGGAAGGGAAGCGGGGGAGAGAGGCGCCGACGGAGAGAGGGAAGUGUGACUCGAGUAAAAUGGAAAAAGAAAUGAGGGAUUAGGGUUAGUUUUGUUAGUAU